rnacentral:lncRNA from 1 species
AUAAAUACCAGUGUGCAGGAAAACAUUCACGGAACGGAUUUUGAUUAAAGUAUUGCAAAGAAGUCGUUAGUUAAGAUCAAAUGUGAACAUAUUUUAAAAUUGCGAUGUAUACCAAAACAGACUUGGUAAGAAAUUUUGAUAGAUUUCUCCAGCCUACAGGUGAAAAUAAAAUUGGGUAAGAAAAGAUAAGAUAAAAAAUAACAAUACAGGGUCUUUAGCUGUGUGUCUCUUGUUAACCGUGAAAUCAAAGAAGGAUACAAAUUAAUCUGGUAACUUAUUACCAUAAAUCCAAUAAAACGCGAGAAAGCCUAUUAAAAAUAUAAAAUGUUCAUGCAGUAAAACACCAAUAACUUUACAUUAUGGGCCAUUACAAAGAAACUAACGAUUGCGCCAGUGACGGAUCCAGAAAUUUUGA